GACGAACGCUGGCGGCGUGCUUAACACAUGCAAGUCGAACGGAAAGGCCCUGCUUUUGCGGGGUGCUCGAGUGGCGAACGGGUGAGUAACACGUGAGUAACCUGCCCUUGACUUUGGGAUAACUUCAGGAAACUGGGGCUAAUACCGGAUAGGAUCUCCUGCUGCACGGUGGGGGUUGGAAAGGUUCGGCGGUUGGGGAUGGACUCGCGGCUUAUCAGCUUGUUGGUGGGGUAGUGGCUUACCAAGGCUUUGACGGGUAGCCGGCCUGAGAGGGUGACCGGCCACAUUGGGACUGCGAUACGGACCAGACUCCUACGGGAGGCAGCAGUGGGGAAUAUUGCACAGUGGGCGGAAGCCUGAUGCAGCAACGCCGCGUGCGGGAUGACGGCCUUCGGGUUGUAAACCGCUUUCGCCUGUGACGAAGCGUGAGUGACGGUACUGGGUCAAGAAGCACCGGCUAACUACGUG
rnacentral:rRNA from 1 species